rnacentral:rRNA from 1 species
UGAUGCGGUCAUACCAGGCCUACUGCACCAGAUCCCAUCGAAACUCUGCAGUUGAGCGCCCUUGGGCUGGGAUAGAUUACCUCCCUGAUGCGGCAUCCA